CGGGGGAGGCGGGAUCCUGGGCUGUGUCCCCUGUGCCCUGUGCUCCGAGGCCUGCGCUGUUGAUUCGCGCUCCCGGGCGCGCAGCCCCCU
rnacentral:pre_miRNA from 1 species